UGAGUGCAGAAGAGGACAGUGGAACUCCCAUGUGUAGCGGUGGAAUGCGUAGAUAUAUGGAAGAACACCAGUGGCGAAGGCGGCUGUCUAGUCUGUAACUGACGCUGAGGCUCGAAAGCAUGGGUAGCGAACAGGAUUAGAUACCCUGGUAGUCCAUGCCGUAAACGAUGAGUGCUAAGUGUUGGAGGGUUUCCGCCCUUCAGUGCUGCAGCUAACGCAUUAAGCACUCCGCCUGGGGAGUACGACCGCAAGGUUGAAACUCAAAGGAAUUGACGGGGGCCCGCACAAGCGGUGGAGCAUGUGGUUUAAUUCGAAGCUACGCGAAGAACCUUACCAGGUCUUGACAUCUUCUGCCAAUCUUAGAGAUAAGACGUUCCCUUCGGGGACAGAAUGACAGGUGGUGCAUGGUUGUCGUCAGCUCGUGUCGUGAGAUGUUGGGUUAAGUCCCGCAACGAGCGCAACCCUUAUUAUCAGUUGCCAGCAUUCAGUUGGGCACUCUGGUGAGACUGCCGGUGACAAACCGGAGGAAGGUGGGGAUGACGUCAAAUCAUCAUGCCCCUUAUGACCUGGGCUACACACGUGCUACAAUGGACGGUACAACGAGUUGCGAAGUCGUGAGGCUAAGCUAAUCUCUUAAAGCCGUUCUCAGUUCGGAUUGUAGGCUGCAACUCGCCUACAUGAAGUUGGAAUCGCUAGUAAUCGCGGAUCAGCAUGCCGCGGUGAAUACGUUCCCGGGCCUUGUACACACCGCCCGUCACACCAUGAGAGUUUGUAACACCCAAAGCCGGUGAGAUAACCUUCGGGAGUCAGCCGUCUAAGGUGGGACAGAUGAUUAGGGUGAAGUCGUAACAAGGUAGCCGUA
rnacentral:rRNA from 1 species